GGGUUGUGAGGUUAAGCGACUAAGCGUACACGGUGGAUGCCCUGGCAGUCAGAGGCGAUGAAGGACGUGCUAAUCUGCGAUAAGCGUCGGUGAGGUGAUAUGAACCGUUAUAACCGGCGAUUUCCGAAUGGGGAAACCC
rnacentral:rRNA from 1 species